GCGCCCUUAGCUCAAUUGGAUAGAGCGUCUGACUACGGAUCAGAAGGUUGGGGAUUCGAGUUCUCCAGGGCGCGCCA
rnacentral:tRNA from 1 species